UGCACAGUGGCACAGUUGGUAGCACUGCAGCAAGAAGGUCCUGGGUUCAUUUCCCAGCUGGGGGUCUUUCUGCAU